UACUUUAAAUUUAGCCCUAAACCUAAAAUCAUAAUUUAAAUAUUUGUAAACCCUAACACACUAAACAUAGUUAAUAAACCAUUUUUCCACCUUAGUACGGGAGACAAAAAAGGAUACAGGAGCCUUAAAGUUAGUACCGCAAGGGAACAAUGAAAGAGAAAUGAAACAAAUUAAACAAGUAAACUAAAGAAGAGAUUAUAUCUCGUACCUUUUGCAUCAUGAUUUAGCAAGAAAGAAAUAAGCAAAGUGCACUUUAGUUUAUAUUCCCGAAACUAAGUGAGCUACUCCGGAACAGCUUUUUUAGAGCCAACCCGUAUCUGUGGCAAAAGAUUGGGAAGAUUCCCGAGUUGAAGUGAUAAACUUACCGAACUUAGUUAUAGCUGGUUACCUGAGAAGUAAAUAGAAGUUUAGCCUAAUUAUAUUAACCCCUCGAAACUGAUUACUAAGAUAGAGUAAGUAAAAUAAUUAGAGUUAAACAAAAGAGGUACAGCUCUUUUGUUAUAAGAUACAACUUUAAAAGGAGGUAAAAGAUCAUAAAUCAAAAAUAUAUUACUUUUGUGGGCCUAAAAGCAGCCAUCAAUAAAGAAAGCGUUAAAGCUCAAGUAAAAUUAGCUAUUAAUAUAAAGAUAUAAAUUCUUAAUCCCCUAAAUAUAUCAGGUCAUUCUACUCUUGUAGAAGUGAUUAUGCUAAUAUGAGUAAUAAGAGGCUUUAUAUCCUCUCUUUGCAUAAGUGUAAUUCGGAACGAACCAACACCGAGAAUUAAUGGACCCAACACUAGAGGGUAUUGUUGAAUAAUUAAAUUACCAGAAAACCCACCAAAUUUUACCAUUAACCUUACACCAGAAUGCAGUUAAAGAAAGACUAAAAGGAAAAGAAGGAACUCGGCAAACAUUAGCCUCGCCUGUUUACCAAAAACAUCGCCUCUUGAUUAAUAAACAUAAGAGGUCCCGCCUGCCCUGUGACUAUGUUUAACGGCCGCGGUAUUUUGACCGUGCGAAGGUAGCGCAAUCACUUGUCUUUUAAAUAAAGACCUGUAUGAAUGGCAAGACGAGGGCUUAACUGUCUCCUUACCCCAGUCAAUGAAAUUUAUCUCUCCGUGCAGAAGCGGAGAUACUUACACAAGACGAGAAGACCCUGUGGAGCUUUAGAUAAAUAAUGGAUAAUGUUUUCAAACUUAAUGAUAAGAGUAAACUAAAUUAAACCCAUUAAACAUCUUUGGUUGGGGCGACCGCGGAGAAAAGAAAAACCUCCACGAGGAAUGGUAACUUACCAUAGCUAAGAAUUACAUUUCGAAGCAUCAGAAUAUUUGACCUUAAGAUCCGGUACAACCGAUUAACGAACCGAGUUACCCUAGGGAUAACAGCGCAAUCUUCUCCAAGAGUCCUUAUCGACGAGAGGGUUUACGACCUCGAUGUUGGAUCAGGACAUCCUAAUGGUGCAACCGCUAUUAAGGGUUCGUUUGUUCAACGAUUAAAGUCCUACGUGAUCUGAGUUCAGACCGGAGUAAUCCAGGUCAGUUUCUAUCUGUGAAUCUGCUUUUCCCUAGUACGAAAGGACCGGGAAAAGAGGGCCCAUGAUUAAGUUAAGCCCUAUUUUAAAUUAUUUGAAACAAAAUGAAAUAAUUAAUAAAACGUAGAAUUAUAAUGGAAGAUUACCAUAUG
rnacentral:rRNA from 1 species